GGUCAAGGUGUUGUAUCCAGUAGAGCAGUGUUUGUAUACUGCGAUCUGUUGAGACUAUCCUAUGAUCGGGUGUUU
rnacentral:rRNA from 17 species